UUUAAAACUACUUUCACCCCUGCUCAAAAGUGAUUGUCACUGAACGUCAUAUCCUCUGCAAGAAUAAUAAAGUAAAAUGGAUCAUUUUUUUUACAAGUACAGUGAUAUCUAAUUUUGACUAUUUUUUCUCUGUUUUCUCUUUAUUGUCCCUUCACAGGACAAUAAAGGCUGUUUCUAUUCUAUUCUACAUUUCUGAAGCCACCUUCUCCACCUGACAGUGUUACGCUCUGCUUUCAGAGCUUGCUGCACACGGCGAGAGCGAUUCAGGUAAGGAGGCAGUGGAGGCACGCCUGAAUGGGUUGAAAGCCUCCAGAAAAAGGUGGUCAUAAAAGUUGGAUUCCCAGCAGACGCCUCAGCUUCUGUCAACUCAGUUUACAGUGAGACACUAACACACCGGCAGUUAUCGUCUCAGGGGCAGCCACCAGCUCUUGAAGUGUCUGCAGCUCAAAGGUCAACACGUCAUUCUUUAAGUACAUCUGGGCCCAUUUAGUUUUCAGUGGGAAAGAACGUUGCAUUUUUCUGCUCGCUGCUGUUGAGUCACAAGGCCCAGAGGAUGUGAAGUCAAUCCGACCCAUYGGGGCUCGGUUAGAGAGCUCACUCUUGUUCCACUCAAGACAAAGACAAACGCAGGAGAGACGAGAAGGAGGAGAGGGGACUAAAAGAGUGAGAGAGGGGAAGAAAGGAGGAAAAGACRAGUAGAAGUGGAGUAGCAGUGGAAGAGGGCUAAGACGUCAAGCUAAGUUGAAAAGUGAAAUAAAAAACAAGGGGACAUCAACAGAAUUAAGGUAUAAAAAAUGCAUAAAAGCUUUGAAUGAAUGGUAUAAUUAGCCUUCUAUGCAUAUUAGGCUAAUUACAGUAUGUAUUCAAAAGUAACAUCAAUGUGUGGGUGUUUAUGGUAUAUACUUGCUCUUGACUGCGCUCCAGUGGGAUGUUCAUGGUGACAUGCAGUGUUAAUUUUCCUCCAAAUAUGUAAGCCUAAAAAGCAUGGUUCCUGUCCUCCCUGCACGGCCAAACCUUUUGGACCAGUCAGAUUAGAUGGACGGUCAAGUUUAGGGGGAUUUACAGAUGAAAUAGCAAGUUUAGUGUGCCACCCUUCUACAGUUUGUGCCCCUGCCUGCCCCCWGAAGCCCCCAAAUAAAAAAAUAAAAAAUCUAGCCAUGUCCCUGCUAUCUAACAAGAGGAUGCAUUAAAUAUACAUCGAGUCCAACCGUUCAUGUUUGUUUACUCUUAUUAUUCAUGCUGAUUUCAUUGCUGAUGUAGAUUCCCCUCGCUGCAUUCAAAUUAACCCUCAUUUAUUCAUCUGUGACAAACACUCACAGCAUGGAAGUAAUUGCGCCACAGUGUUUAAUGCUCUUAAAUUCCCUAGAAUCACAUUAGGCACCUCUGUUUUUUUUUUUUUUUGGUUUGUUUGUUUUGUUUUUUUUUCCUGUGCUUUUUUUUCUUCUUUGAGAUUUCCUCCAUGCUCGUCUUGUUGAACUUUUGGUAUUUCUUUGUCAAAACCUUCUGAGUGAAUGCUGCAGAGUACAAAACUCUAUUACAAGAUGGACACUUUGCUGUAAACUACAAUUAAAAAACAAUUACUGAAUAAUGAAAACUGUCAAGUUAUGUGCACUAAAUGUUAAGUAAGAUCUACGAGUCAUGCAGCRUCUACUCAAUUUACGCUUCGAUGUUAUUAAAACAUGACUUCAGUUGUGGCCAAAUUGAGUUGGGCACUUGCAAAUGGAGGCUSAAUAGCAACUUUAAUACAAUUACUGGUUAAAAUAUUCAAUUGCAAUUUCAUAAUACCUUCCAGCAAUACUUUCUUCAGUUGCACAGUUACGCACUAUUUUGUGUUGAUAUAUUACCGUAAAUCUCAUCUUUUAAGCAAAUUCGUUUUUACAUUUUAUGAUUUAGGACUUUUUGGAACGACCUAAGAGUCUCGCAGAUCAUUACUUUAGGUGCGUCACCAACGAUGCUCAUCAGGUGGUUGAUACAAAUGACAAAUCGUUAAAUAUAAAAGACGACAAUAAAAAGACAGAAGCAAUUUCCUGAGUUCAAAGUAAUCUACAAGGUAAUGACAUCAUUACUUUGUCAAAAGAUGUUUUCAACACAUUCAAAGCCUGUUAUUUAUUUCCUUUUGCUAUCGGCACGUAAUGUGCGGCUGUAAGGAGAAGAAAUGAAUGUCGAGUGAGGUUUGUGCAUUGUAUGUUUGACUUCCCUGUUAAAUGUCUUCACGCUCUACAUCUCUCCCCAUCUCCUGCAACAUCACGAACAAAAAGUGGGUCUAUGCAACAGGUGGAAAAUUAAAGUCAAACUGAACUCUGCUCAGGUGAGGAUUUCACUUCACACAAACUCAAUACCURAMCGUUGUGUGGUCGUUGGGGUAAUUUCUACACUUGGACGGGGGACAUGAUGUAUAAACGAGGACAUAAUUGGUGUCACAGUUUGAUUUUUCUUCUGCUGCAUUUAGCAGAUGUGUAGAGCUUGUUGUCAUAGUAGCCGAGUUAAGGUUUGUAAUUGAGGUCAAGACGAGGUUAUUCCUUUAGGUAAGAAACUGAAGGAAGGUAACGACCUAAAA